rnacentral:rRNA from 1 species
UACGUAGGGGGCAAGCGUUGUCCGGAUUUAUUGGGCGUAAAGAGCGUGUAGGCGGUUUGGUAGGUCCGCUGUGAAAACUCGAGGCUCAACCUCGAGACGUCGGUUGAAACCAUCUGGCUAGAGUCCGGAAGAGGAGUGUGGAAUUCCCGGUGUAGCGGUGAAAUGCGCAGAUAUCGGGAAGAACACCCGUGGCGAAGGCGGCACUCUGGGACGGUACUGACGCUGAGACGCGAAAGCGUGGGGAGCGAACAGG